rnacentral:tRNA from 1 species
ACUUAAAUAGCUUAUAAAGAGUUUAACAUUGAAGAUGUUAUGGAGGUAAAUUACCUUUAAGUA